GCAGCUGUCAUAUUUUGGAUAUGUAAUGCAUGCAGAGCAUGGACUGGAAAAGACGAUUAUGCUUGGAAAGGUCGAGAGAGACAGGAGAAGAGGACGACAACAAACAAGAUGGAUAGAUAGGAUCAAGACAACUACUGGAAAGACUUUGAGAGAACUGUGCGAUUUGACCAAAAACAGGUCUGAAUGGCGAGCAUUUGUUCACACAGUCACCAGAAGUCGAACUCGACUUGAUGGCACUUAAGAACAACAAAAUAUUUUAAAUAAUAAUUUAGAUUUAACAACAAAUUUUUAUUAAUAGAUUAUUAGAUUUU
rnacentral:lncRNA from 1 species